rnacentral:rRNA from 1 species
UACGUAGGUGGCAAGCGAUACUCGGAAUCACUAGGCGUAAAGCGCAGGUAGGCGGUUUGGUAAGUCUUUUGUGAAAGCUCCCGGCUCAACUGGGAGAGGUCAAGGGAUACUACUAAGCUAGAGUGUGGUAGGGGAUACUGGAAUUCCCGGUGUAGAGGUGAAAUUCGUAGAUAUCGGGAGGAACACCAGUGGCGAAGGCGGCCACCUGGACGGAUACUGACGCUGAGGUGCGAAAGCGUGGGGAGCAAACAGG